AAAAGUGCCAGCCCCCCCAGCCAUACCCGCAGGCUGCCCCUCGACACUGAUUCCCUGGGCCUCAUAUCGCGGUUGUCGUCGCAGGAGAUUCCCGUUGUGCUCGAAGGAUUGGCAGAGAUAUUCAGUGAACCGCUGCAUGUAACUGAGGCAAGGUAUCAGCAGAUGAUACAGCGAUCCGAAGAGAUGACGAAAACAGCGUUGCAGAUAAUCGCCGACUUUUGGAGUCGUGAUAGAAG